rnacentral:tRNA from 1 species
GCGGGAUUAGUUGAGCGGUUCAACAUUUGCUUUCCAAGCAAAAAAGACGGGUUCGA